GCAUAUCAAUAAGCGGAGGAAAAGAAACCAACAGGGAUUGCCCUAGUAACGGCGAGUGAAGCGGCAACAGCUCAAAUUUGAAAUCUGGCUUCGGCCCGAGUUGUAAUUUGUAGAGGAUGCUUUUGGCGAGGUGCCUUCUGAGUUCCCUGGAACGGGACGCCAGAGAGGGUGAGAGCCCCGUAUAGUCGGACACCUAGCCUCUGUAAAGCUCCUUCGACGAGUCGAGUAGUUUGGGAAUGCUGCUCAAAAUGGGAGGUAUAUCUCUUCUAAAGCUAAAUAUAGGCCAGAGACCGAUAGCGCACAAGUAGAGUGAUCGAAAGAUGAAAAGCACUUUGAAAAGAGGGUUAAAUAGCACGUGAAAUUGUUGAAAGGGAAGCGCUUGUGACCAGACUUGUGCCGGGCUGAUCAUCCAGUGUUCUCACUGGUGCACUCGACCCGGCUCAGGCCAGCGUCGGUUCUCGCGGGGGGAUAAAAGCUUCGGGAACGUGGCUCCUCCGGGAGUGUUAUAGCCCGUCGUUUAAUACCCUCGCGGGGACCGAGGUUCGCGCUCUGCAAGGACGCUGGCAUAAUGGUCAUCAGCGACCCGUCUUGAAACACGGACCAAGGAGUCGAGGUUUUGCGCGAGUGUUUGGGUGUAAAACCCGCACGCGUAAUGAAAGUGAACGUAGGUGAGAGCUUCGGCGCAUCAUCGACCGAUCCUGAUGUAUUCGGAUGGAUUUGAGUAAGAGCGUAUAGCCUCGGACCCGAAAGAUGGUGAACUAUGCCUGAAUAGGGUGAAGCCAGAGGAAACUCUGGUGGAGGCUCGCAGCGGUUCUGACGUGCAAAUCGAUCGUCAAAUUUGGGCAUGGGGGGCGAAAGACUAAUCGAACCAUCUAGUAGCUGGUUACCGCCGAAGU
rnacentral:rRNA from 1 species